GUACGGGAGGCAGCAGUGGGGAAUUUUGGACAAUGGGGGCAACCCUGAUCCAGCCAUGCCGCGUGAGUGAAGAAGGCCUUCGGGUUGUAAAGCUCUUUCGGCGGGGAAGAAAUCGCACUGGCUAAUAACUGGUGUGGAUGACGGUACCCGAAUAAGAAGCACCGGCUAACUACGUGCCGGCAGCCGCGGUAAUACGUAGGGUGCGAGCGUUAAUCGGAAUUACUGGGCGUAAAGCGUGCGCAGGCGGUUGUGCAAGACAGGCGUGAAAUCCCCGGGCUUAACCUGGGAAUGGCGCUUGUGACUGCACGACUAGAGUACGGCAGAGGGGGGUGGAAUUCCACGUGUAGCAGUGAAAUGCGUAGAGAUGUGGAGGAACACCGAUGGCGAAGGCAGCCCCCUGGGCCAGUACUGACGCUCAUGCACGAAAGCGUGGGGAGCAAACAGGAUUAGAUACCCGCGUAGUCC
rnacentral:rRNA from 1 species